rnacentral:rRNA from 1 species
GACGAACGCUGGCGGCGUGCUUAACACAUGCAAGUCGAACGGAAAGGCCCUGCUUUUGUGGGGUGCUCGAGUGGCGAACGGGUGAGUAACACGUGAGUAACCUUCCCUUUACUUUGGGAUAACUUCAGGAAACUGGGGCUAAUACCUGCUAGGAGCUCCUGCUGCAUGGUGGGGGUUGGAACUUUUCGGCUGUUGGGGAUGUACUCGCGGCUUAUCAGCUUGUUGGUGGGGUAGUGGCUUACCAAGGCUUUGACGGGUAGCCGGCCUGAGAGGGUGACCGGCCACAUUGGGACUGAGAGACGGCCCAGACUCCUACGGGAGGCAGCAGUGGGGAAUAUUGCACAAUGGGCGGAAGCCUGAUGCAGCAACGCCGCGUGCGGGAUGACGGCCUUCGGGUUGUAAACCGCUUUCGCCUGUGACGAAGCGUGAGUGACGGUAAUGGGUAAAGAAGCACCGGCUAACUACGUG